CCUACGGGUGGCAGCAGUGAGGAAUAUUGGACAAUGGAGGCAACUCUGAUCCAGCCAUGCCGCGUGCAGGAAGACGGCCCUAUGGGUUGUAAACUGCUUUUAUACGGGAAGAACCACAUCUACGUGUAGAUGCUUGACGGUACCGUAUGAAUAAGGACCGGCUAACUCCGUGCCAGCAGCCGCGGUAAUACGGAGGGUCCAAGCGUUAUCCGGAAUCAUUGGGUUUAAAGGGUCCGUAGGCGGGGUAAUAAGUCAGUGGUGAAAGUCUGCAGCUUAACUGUAGAAUUGCCAUUGAUACUGUUGUCCUUGAAUUAUUAUGAAGUGGUUGGAAUGAGUAGUGUAGCGGUGAAAUGCAUAGAUAUUACUCAGAACACCUAUUGCGAAGGCAGAUCACUAAUAAUAUAUUGACGCUGAGGGACGAAAGCGUAGGUAGCGAACAG
rnacentral:rRNA from 1 species